GCGCAGCCUGAUCAGCGAUGCCGCGUGUUAGAUGACCGGUUCGGGUUGCCCCUGCUUUUGUCACGCAAGAAAUCCUUUGGGCUAAUACCUGUCUGAGGAUGACGGUACCUGAUCAAUACGCACCGGCUAACUACGUGCCAGCAGCCGCGGAAAUACUGACGGUGCGAGCGUUAAUCGGAAUUACUGGGCGUAAAGCGUGCGCAGGCGGCUUUGCAAGACAGAGGUGAAAUCCCCGGGCUCAACCUGGGAACUGCCUUUGUGACUGCAAGGCUAGAGUACGGCAGAGGGGGAUGGAAUUCCGCGUGUAGCAGUGAAAUGCGUAGAUAUGCGGAGGAACACCGAUGGCGAAGGCAAUCCCCUGGGCCUGUACUGACGCUCAUGCACGAAAGCGUGGGGAGCAAACAGGAUUAGAUACCCUGGUAGUCCACGCCCUAAACGAUGUCAACUGGUUGUUGGACGGCUUGCUGUUCAGUAACGAAGCUAACGCGUGAAGUUGACCGCCUGGGGAGUACGGCCGCAAGGUUGAAACUCAAAG
rnacentral:rRNA from 1 species